CCUACGUGAGGCAGCAGUGAGGAAUAUUGGUCAAUGGGCGCGAGCCUGAACCAGCCAAGCAGCGUGAAGGAUGACUGCCCUACGGGUUGUAAACUUCUUUUAUAGAGGAAUAAAGUGAGGCAAGUGUGCCUUUUUGUAUGUACUUUAUGAAUAAGGAUCGGCUAACUCCGUGCCAGCCGCCGCGGGAAUACGGUGGAUCCGAGCGUUAUCCGGAUUUAUUGGGUUUAAAGGGAGCGUAGAUGGGUUGUUAAGUCAGUUGUGAAAGUUUGCGGCUCAACCGGAAAAGUGCAAUUGAUACAGGCAGUCUUGAGUACAGUUGAGGUAGGCGGAAUUCGUGGUGUAGCGGUGAAAUGCGUAGAUAUCACGAAGAACUCCGAUUGCGAAGGCAGCUUACUAAACUGCCACUGACAUUGAUGCUCGAAAGUGUGGGUAUCAAACAGGAUUAGAUACCCGAGUAGUC
rnacentral:rRNA from 1 species